AAGGAGUGCUUCGGAGCGUUGAGACAGGUGGUGCAUGGUUGUCGUCAGCUCGUGUCGUGAGAUGUUGGGUUAAGUCCCGCAACGAGCCGCAACCCUUGUCAUUAGUUGCUACAUUCAGUUGGGCACUCCAAUGAGACUGCCGGUGACAAGCCGGAGGAAGGUGGGGAUGACGUCAAGUCCUCAUGGCCCUUAUAGGUGGGGCUACACACGUCAUACAAUGGCUGGUACAAAGGGUUGCCAACCCGCGAGGGGGAGCUAAUCCCAUAAAGCCAGUCGUAGUCCGGAUCGUAGUCUGCAACUCGACUACGUGAAGUCGGAAUCGCUAGUAAUCGUGGAUCAGAAUGUCACGGUGAAUACGUUCCCGGGUCUU
rnacentral:rRNA from 1 species